GACGAACGCUGGCGGCGUGCUUAACACAUGCAAGUCGAACGGAAAGGCCCUGCCUUUGUGGGGUGCUCGAGUGGCGAACGGGUGAGUAACACGUGAGUAACCUGCCCUUGACUUUGGGAUAACUUCAGGAAACUGGGGCUAAUACCGGAUAGGAGCUCCUGCUGCAUGGUGGGGGUUGGAAAGUGUCGGCGGUUGGGGAUGGACUCGCGGCUUAUCAGCUUGUUGGUGGGGUAGUGGCUUACCAAGGCUUUGACGGGUAGCCGGCCUGGGAGGGUGACCGGCCACAUUGGGACUGAGAUACGGCCCAGAAUCCUACGGGAGGCAGCAGUGGGGAAUAUUGCACAAUGGGCGGAAGCCUGAUGCAGCAACGCCGCGUGCGGGAUGGCGGCCUUUGGGUUGUAAACCGCUUUCGCCUGUGACGAAGCGUGAGUGACGGUAAUGGGUAAAGAAGCACCGGCUAACUACGUG
rnacentral:rRNA from 1 species